rnacentral:rRNA from 1 species
ACCAACGACUGCGCUACGUUGAAUACACCAGUUCUCCUCUGAUCACUGAAGUUAAGCGACGUCGGCCGUGGUUAGUACUUGGAUGGGUGACCGUCUGGGAGAUCACGUGUUUGUUGGUU